CCGGGGCGGGCUGCGCAUCGGGGUGACGCAGCCCCGGCGCGUGGCCGCCAUGAGCGUGGCCGCGCGCGUCGCCGUGGAGAUGGGCGUCAAGCUGGGCAACGAGGUGGGCUACAGCAUCCGCUUCGAGGACUGCACGUCGGAGCGCACGGUGCUCAAGUACAUGACGGACGGGAUGCUGCUGCGGGAGUUCCUCACCGAGCCCGACCUGGCCUCCUACAGCGUCAUCAUG